GACAGACGUCACUCGUCAGUUUUGACUUGCGAGUCAUUUUUGUGUUGCCGUUUAUCACCAUCUGUAAGUGGACUUCUUACUGGAAAAUAUUUUGUCGCUUGAAAAUUUUAACUCCAUUCGAAUGAACAGGGAGCGAAAUGAAAUGCGACGUAUGUCUGUGAACUUUAUAAUGGAUACGUAUACAUUUUUGAUGCCCGGUGGUAUCCAGACUUCCAAGUGGUUGAACAGACGCCAGUGUACCUGCAUUCAGAGACACAACUGGAUGUUCUUUUCUUCAUUUAAGAUUUCCAAUUCGAGGUGAUGUAUAGUUCAUGUUAGAUUUGCUAUUUGUACAGUGAAGUAGAAGAGUCUGGCCUUGUUAUGGGGCAGCAGUUAAAGAAGAAGGAAGGAGAGAUGUGUGCCCUGUUGAAGUAGUGGCUGGUCCUCCUGCCCACACUUCUAGAAUCCUCCAUCUCAAUCUCUGGUCUGAUCUGCUGUGCCUUUGCCAAGUGAUCACGAGUUUAUUGCAAUGGUGCCCCCUGCAUCUCCAUUGUCUGUUACAUCAACUCAAACUGCCUGUGAUGCUGGAGAGAAGAAAAGUUCACAAGACGUCCUGAAAUGGAAUUGUGAUUGGACUUGGACGGCCACAGUUAUGUAUGCUGAGAUGUGCAGAGGGGGCUAUGCAGGCUUUGGCUUGGGACCCCCAGAGGUUUAUUAUCUCCAGCAACCUUGAAAGCUGCAAGUUUGUCAUGUCCCUGGCCAUUUGACCAUGCAGUGUAUUUAUUACAAAAGACAAGGACCCAUCAAUUUUCUUCUUGUUUACAUUUAUAAUACCUUUAAUUUUCUUUGUAACUGUAUAUUUUUGUAGAGCAAUUUGGGCAACACUUCUAAGCAAAGGUGAUAUAGAAUAAAUGUUAAGGGACAGAUCAGGAAAAAUGUCAGUUUAAAUAGAGCACAUUUUAUGGAAUAUUGCUGGAUAAUAACUCUUUGACUCGGAGUAGUAUUUGUUCAUAAAGCAAAAGUAGCAUUUUUCCUUUUUUGACAAAUUUAAUGAUUCACUUUUACUGUGUUCAAAACCUUGGCUAACAUUUUUUUAAUACCAAGGUAAAAAUCUGUAAAUAUGUUUGUGUUCCCUUUCUCUAAUAGUUUUUAACACCUCCCCAUUGUUGGCCAUUUUCAUUGUAUUUGUGUUCUAGUGAAAUGAAUUUACCAUUUAUACAUUUUUAUGAUUACUGAAUUUUCUACACACAUAUAUAUAUAUAUGUGUGUGUGUUUGAUUUUUUUUUUUACAUUGUUCACAGAUAUUUCACUUUUAUUAUUUUUAAACAUACCAUUUAUUUAUUCAAUAAAAAAUGUAUGAAAAAGUGUAUUGUAUUUCCUUUUUUAAAGUUAUAAAAAUGAACUGGCUCUGUAUCAAUAUGGGUGAAUAAAACCAUUCACAUGAGAUGAAUCUGCACACAAACAACGGUGUGUUAUGUUGAUUAAACUUGUAAGAAAGAAUGUCACUGCACUCUGUCCACAUGGUGUUCGUCAUAAACUGAACUAUUUCAUGCUGUUUAAAUUCUGCUCAGUUACUGCAGAA